rnacentral:rRNA from 1 species
GUCGAACGGCAGCACGGGAGCAAUCCUGGUGGCGAGUGGCGAACGGGUGAGUAAUACAUCGGAACGUGCCCAGUUGUGGGGGAUAGCCCGGCGAAAGCCGGAUUAAUACCGCAUACGACCUACGGGUGAAAGCGGGGGAUCGCAAGACCUCGCGCAAUUGGAGCGGCCGAUGGCAGAUUAGCUUGUUGGUGGGGUAAAAGCCUACCAAGGCGACGAUCUGUAGCUGGUCUGAGAGGACGACCAGCCACACUGGGACUGAGACACGGCCCAGACUCCUACGGGAGGCAGCAGUGGGGAAUUUUGGACAAUGGGCGCAAGCCUGAUCCAGCCAUGCCGCGUGCGGGAAGAAGGCCUUCGGGUUGCAAACCGCUUUUGUCAGGGAAGAAACGGUCUGAUCUAAUAAAUCAGACUAAUGACGGUACCUGAAGAAUAAGCACCGGCUAACUACGUGCCAGCAGCCGCG